AUGGCGGGUAUGGCAGACUCCUGCCUCCUGGAGGUUCAGGGCUGCAGGCUGGAGCCAACAGGAACACUUGCCCUUGCCCAGGUUCAGGAUCAGGCACAAGCAUGCCCUGACCUGGACCUCAGUGACUGGACAUCCCUGGGACACACCUGGGGCACACCUGGAGCGUACCUUCCAGGCUUCCGGCCACUAGUCCAUCUCGAUCCUGCUCAACCAGUGUCAGAAGGACAACAGGCAUCUGAAUGGAAUCACUUUUCCUGCUGAAACACAAAAUUGGGGACACGCACAGGGUGCUCACAACGGGCCAGGCCUGAUCCUCUGCACUUCACACUCAUUAUGAACUCACAACAGCCAGUGCUGCUGGCCAAGAAUGGUGCUUCCUGCCCAUCUUGUGGGUGAGGUCAUGUGACUAGUUCUAACCAAUGAGCUUCGAGUGGAACUGACGCACAUUAUUCCCAUGCUAGAGCAUCUAACUGUCUGUGCAGGAACUUCCAAAGCUCUUAUGUCCCUCUGGUGUGACAGCCAGAAAUGUUCCAGAAUGUUCCAGAAUGUGAAUGCUCCACUAAUGACUAUGAUGUGCAAAGCCUCCCCUCAGUGACCCAAAACAGACACGAAACAUGAAUGAGAAAUAAACUUUGUGAUUUUCAGGCACUGAGACAUUGUUUUUUUUUUGUUUCUGCAGCUGGGCCUAGUCUUGCCUAAUGGUUUGAAAUUACACCCCCAUUUUACAGGUAAGAAAACUGACGCAAAGUUUAAGUCACUUGCCCUUAGUCACACAGCUGGUAAGUGACACUGUCAGAGAUAGUGUCUUGGCAACCUGACUCCAGGGACUCUGCUCUGAUUUCUAAACUGUCUCUCUGGGUGAGAUGCAGUCAUCCUGGGGACCAGGAAUGUAUGGAAAGUUCAUAAACCACAGUGGAUUCUGGGUGGGGUUGUUUCCUCCUAUCCUGUUCCCUCUGAUUGGGGAUUUUCAUUUCUUUCUCUCAUGAGCACUGGCUCUCCUGGAAGGUUUGGCUCUAUCAAAUCCUCUGGAGGAGACACAGGAGGCUGGGUAAAAGGACAGGGAGCUUUCUCCUCCCCAGUCCUCACUCAGAAAGUUUAAUUCAUUUGGCAUAAACUUGACCUUCUGGGGGCCCAAUCCUUCCAGUCCUAGCAGACCUCCACUUCCUUCCCCACCUCCUACACCUUCACUGUGGGAGCCCCAACCCUUCCUCCGCUGCUGCCUGUAUGAGCUGGUGAUCAAGUAUUACAGGGGAGAAAAUUUCCAAGGCCAGAGAGCAGAGCUCUGAGCUGAGGUUUUAGAAAUAUCCUUUCACCUCUUCACCCAGCCUGCUUCCCUUCCUCUUUCAGGGCCUGCGAGGUCCUCCUGAAGCCCCCAGAGAACCAGAACCAUGCCCCCACCUGCCCUCAGAGAUUCCCAGGGAUACCUACCGAGGCAGGGCUCAGGACACCUCUAUGCAAACCUCAGCAACUCCUGCCCUGACCAGUUAACUCAAUACUUACUCUACAUUAAAUACCAAUUGGGCCAAUUUUCUGCUGUAAUUAAAACCUCAGCAGAUGGGUUCCCUGCUCAUCAGUGAUGAGUUUAUUAAUGUCCAGCUCUGAAGGAAUGUGGGGCAGAGAGAAAAACAGAAAGGGGCUUGCUCUGGUACUGGGAGAGUAGAUGCUGGGAGAGGCUGAGUUUGAAACUGUUCCGUCUCCUUGGUUGGCUCCAGGCAGGGGGCAGGCAGCCAUGUUUACGAAAGUGUCUGCAUCUCUGGGUUUUCUGUUUCUACAGUGGAAACUCGGAAAUAUCUGCCCUGCCCCUCUUAUCUGUUGCAAACCUGGGCCUGCCGUAUAUAACUGAUCCUUUUUUGAAAAUCACAUCUUCUUGACUACUGACAAACAGUGUGUCUGGAACCUGUAAACACAGCCCCUUAUAGCUCAGCAAUCUGGGCUUAUUUGUUAUGUAGCAUAACCUAGGCUGUCCUGACUACUACAUAUUAUAACUCCACUUACAGACAGUGAAACUAAGGUCCAGUUUGCUUACUAAUAUAGGAGAGACCAAGCUAGUUCUUGCCAACGGAGCCUGGAGACAGACCUCUGAGUUGGAUAAGAGAAGCAGGCCAGGUUAGUCCUUAGCUCUGCUCAAGGUGAGUAGUUCACGACUGCUAGUGGGUUGGAAGCUCACUGCCUAGUACACUUGUGGCAGCUCAAGCAAUCAGCUCCUUCUGAUCAUCAGAGAGCAUCUGCACAGUGGAGCAUGAUUCAGCCCCAAGAAGUCACUCUACUUUUUUUUUUGUAAUUAGGAGAUUUUAU
ensembl:lncRNA